rnacentral:rRNA from 1 species
GAGUGAACGCUGGCGGUAGGCCUAACCCAUGCAAGUCGAACGGCAGCACAGUAAGAGCUUGCUCUUACGGGUGGCGAGUGGCGGACGGGUGAGGAAUACAUCGGAAUCUACUUUUUCGUGGGGGAUAACGUAGGGAAACUUACGCUAAUACCGCAUACGACCUACGGGUGAAAGCAGGGGAUCUUCGGACCUUGCGCGAGUGAAUGAGCCGAUGUCGGAUUAGCUAGUUGGCGGGGUAAAGGCCCACCAAGGCGACGAUCCGUAGCUGGUCUGAGAGGAUGAUCAGCCACACUGGAACUGAGACACGGUCCAGACUCCUACGGGAGGCAGCAGUGGGGAAUAUUGGACAAUGGGCGCAAGCCUGAUCCAGCCAUACCGCGUGGGUGAAGAAGGCCUUCGGGUUGUAAAGCCCUUUUGUUGGGAAAGAAAAGCAGCAGGUUAAUACCCCGCUGUUCUGACGGUACCCAAAGAAUAGGCACCGGCUAACUUCGUG